AUUGAACGCUGGCGGCAGGCCUAACACAUGCAAGUCGAGCGGACGAAGGGAGCUUGCUCCUGGCUUCAGCUGCGGACGGGUGAGUAAUGCCCACGAAUCUGCCUGGUCUUGGGGGAUAACGUCAGUUAACGGGCGCUAAUACCGCAUACGUCCUGAGGGAGAAAGUGGGGGAUCUUCGGACCUCACGCUAUCAGAUGAGCCUAGGCCGGAUUAGCUAGUUGGUGGGGUAAAGGCUUACCAAGGCGACGAUCCGUAACUGGUCUGAGAGGAUGAUCAGUCACACUGGAACUGAGACACGGUCCAGACUCCUACGGGAGGCAGCAGUGGGGAAUCUUGGACAAUGGGCGAAAGCCUGACGCAGCCACGCCGCGUGAGUGAAGAAGGUCUUCGGAUUGUAAAACACUUUAAGUAGGGAGGAAGAAAAGUAUGAGAAACUAUGCACGUCUUGACGGUACCUACACAGAAAGCACCGGCUAACUUCGUG
rnacentral:rRNA from 1 species